UAAUGGCGGGUAUUGCGGGCGUGAUCACCUCUUCCCAUUCCGAACAGAGAAGUUAAGCCGCCCUGCGCCAAUGGUACUGCCUUCACCGGUGGAAGAGUAGGUCCCCGCCAACCCUA
rnacentral:rRNA from 1 species